CUCAAUUUUCUUCCCCUUCUCUCUCUCUCUCUUUUUGUCUCUCUCAUCUUGCUUGAUUAACCCUCUCUCCCUUUCCCUCCUUCUCGCCGUUCCAUUCUCCCUCUUCUAUUUUCAAUUCAUCAUAUGUAAGUUUAUUUAUAAUUUAGUGGGAUAGUUUUGGAUUUAGGGAUUAAUUUCUUGAUUUGAAAUUUUCUUUCAUUUAAGUCCCUAGGCCCUUUUAAAUUUGCAGCAGCCCCCUAAAUUAUCUAAAAACUCUUAUAAAACACCCAAAAAUUUAAAUGUUAAAUUUACAGGAUGUUACAAUCUUCUUCCCUUUAAAAAUUUGGUCCUCUAAAUUUGAACCCAUCAAGUAAUUAUAGAAAAUGAAGAUAUUUGUUCCCCAUUUUCUCUUCCGAUUCCCACAUGAUUUCUUUUAUGAAGUAGUGUUGUCAUGGCACUUUUUCUAGUGAAAUCACUUUAGAUUGUGAUAUCUCUUUCCUACCUCCCAAAAGUAAAGGUACAUUUAUCUAGAAUUAACUUCCGAUCUUAGUGAUUUUAAGACCUAAGGGGAUUUGAUGGUACUUCACUAUUUCUCUCCUAAUAAUACUUCAUCUUCACAUAGGACUAUUAUUUUGGAUUAUAUUGAUCCUCAAAACUCAUUAGAGCCUAUUAUCUCCCAACAAUAAUCUAUGCCAUUAUCAUCACUAUCAAACACUGUCUGCGAGCAUCAUAUCUUUGUUUGAUUCUCAUCAUGACAAGUCUCUUAGUAAUAGCUUCUCACCACAAGAUUAAGUUCUUAGUUACAUAAGUGACCUCAAUGCUAUGUUAUGUUAAUGUCUUUUCCAACGUGCAUAUGCCCCAUAAAAAUUGCCUAUAUUCUGACUUUCAAAAAUUAAUAUGUGAAUAUCUUAGAAAUUAUUUUCCACGAUCUCUAGUCCAUAUAAUCUUGAAUUAUUACCAAAACAUACAGUUAUUUUUCAUGAUCUCUAAAUAGCCAUAUAUGUUUCAUUCUCAUAUAUAACAAUCCACUAAUAGUAAGGUUUUCUGAAUCCUGGAUAUCACUUUGGAAAUUUGAAAGUAUUGUUUUGGUAGCCAAACUUCUUUUCACUUACCCAAGGGACUUGAUGUCUAAGCAAUCUACUUUUGGUUGAGUCAUAAUGUUCUUCUAAAUUCCAUCAAGUUUGCAGGGUUUUCCAAAAU
rnacentral:lncRNA from 1 species